UCCAGGGUAGCCUAGUGGACAUGGCACCUGCCCGGUAAGCAGAAGGAUGUGGGUUCGAUUCCCGCCCCUGGAC